rnacentral:rRNA from 1 species
GUGGGGAAUCUUGCGCAAUGGGCGAAAGCCUGACGCAGCCAUGUCGCGUGGAUGAUGAAGGUCUUAGGAUUGUAAAAUCCUUUCACCGGUGAAGAUAAUGACUGUAGCCGGAGAAGAAGCCCCGGCUAACUUCGUGCCAGCAGCCGCGGUAAUACGAAGGGGGCUAGCGUUGCUCGGAAUUACUGGGCGUAAAGGGAGCGUAGGCGGACAUUUAAGUCAGGGGUGAAAUCCCGAGGCUCAACCUCGGAACUGCCUUUGAUACUGGGUGUCUUGAGUGUGAGAGAGGUGAGUGGAACUCCGAGUGUAGAGGUGAAAUUCGUAGAUAUUCGGAAGAACACCAGUGGCGAAGGCGACUCACUGGCUCAUUACUGACGCUGAGGCUCGAAAGCGUGGGGAGCAAACAGGAUUAGAUACCCUUGUAGUCC